GUCCGGAUUCACUGGGUUUAAAGGGUGCGUAGGCGGGUAAGUAAGUCCGUGGUGAAAUCUCUGAGCUUAACUCAGAAACUGCCGUGGAUACUAUUUGCCUUGAAUAUUGUGGAGGUGAGCGGAAUAUGUCAUGUAGCGGUGAAAUGCUUAGAUAUGACAUAGAACACCAAUUGCGAAGGCAGCUCACUACACAAUCAUUGACGCUGAGGCACGAAAGCGUGGGGAUCAAACAGG
rnacentral:rRNA from 1 species